UUCGUUAGCAAUGAUUAAUCUUUGCGUACAGAUAUACAUUCAACUUCGCCUCUAUCUUACCAACUUCUAACCUAUAACAGCGGCCCACCCAUCUUUUGUUAUUUUUAUAUAUUUUUUUAAGGAUUUGUAAAGAAUUUGUCUUCUAGAAAUAUGAUUAGUUUUUGUGCAUUUUAAAAUUGUUAGAUUUUUUUUGACCAACAAUGACCAAUAAUUUGUAUG